rnacentral:rRNA from 1 species
GAUGAACGCUGGCGGCGUGCCUAACACAUGCAAGUCGAGCGAGAUAAAUGUGAGUGGAGACUUCGGUCAAAGCGAUCAUUUUGAAAGCGGCGGACGGGUGAGUAACGCGUGAGCAAUCUGCCCCAUACAAAGGGAUACCCACUGGAAACGGUGAUUAAUACCUUAUAAGACCACGAAGUCGCCUGGCUUAGUGGCCAAAGAUUUAUCGGUAUGGGAUGAGCUCGCGUCUGAUUAGCUAGUUGGUGAGGUAAUGGCUCACCAAGGCGACGAUCAGUAGACGACCGGAGAGGAUGAACGGCCACACUGGAACUGAGACACGGUCCAGACUCCUACGGGAGGCAGCAGUGGGGAAUAUUGCACAAUGGGCGCAAGCCUGAUGCAGCAACGCCGCGUGAAUGAUGAAGGCCUUCGGGUCGUAAAGUUCUGUCCUAAGGGAAGAAUACAGUGACGGUACCUUAGGAGGAAGCCCCGGCUAACUACGUGCCAGCCGCCGCAGUAA